rnacentral:rRNA from 1 species
GGACCCGCACAAGCAGUGGAGUAUGUGGUUUAAUUCGAAGCAACGCGAAGAACCUUACCAAGGCUUGACAUAAUACUGAAUAUGGUGGAAACAUCAUAGUCCUUCGGGACAGUAUUACAGGUGGUGCAUGGUUGUCGUCAGCUCGUGUCGUGAGAUGUUGGGUUAAGUCCCGCAACGAGCGCAACCCUUGUCAUUAGUUGCCAUCAGGUAAAGCUGGGCACUCUAAUGAGACUAUCGGUGAUAAACCGGGGGAAGGUGGGGACGACGUCAAAUCAUCAUGCCCCUUAUGUCUUGGGCUACACACGUACUACAAUGGCUAUUACAGCAGGCAGCGAAGGAGUAAUCCGGAGCAAAUCCCAAAAGAUAGUCUCAGUUCGGAUUGUGGGCUGCAACCCGCCCACAUGAAGUCGGAAUUGCUAGUAAUUGCAGGUCAGAAUACUGCAGUGAAUACGUUCCCGGGUCUU